rnacentral:lncRNA from 13 species
CUUCGUCCAUGGCUGGGGCAUCAUCCACUGCUGGGGCGUCGUCCACUGCUGGGACUUCGUCCGUGGCUGGGGCAUCAUCCACUGUGGGGGGCAUCAUCCACUGCUGGGGCUUCAUCCAUGGCUGGGACAUCAUUCACUGCUGGGGCUUCAUUCAUGGCUGGGGCAUCAUCCGUGGUUGUUUUGCUCAAUCUAUCUGAGCCACAGAUCCAGAUUAUUAAACAAUAAUUUGAGUUCCACUUUUACAGUUUUUGUUUGUUUUAAAAGUUAUUUAAAUUGAAUGAAGUAACUAAACCAGAAUUUUCCCCUUUUAAUUAUUUCUAUUUUUAUAAAGAGUUGUUUCAAGAAAAUGGAUGCCCCUGUCUGUGUUUGUGAACAGGAGUGUUGGGUCUAAAGGCUUUCUCUGGUAGCUCUGCAGGAAGAUUGCCCACCUCACCCUUGCUUUCUGCGGGUUCCAGAGGCUUCCAUUUAAAGGAGCAUCUCUCCCCACUCUGCCUCACCCGACACCAGCUCUCCUGUACCCACUGGCUUUCUAAACACUUUCUUCCACCUUCACCUCAUUGCAUUCAAGACUCUGGAGAAUAGUCAAAAAUUAUAAAAAGGUGGGAGUGGGGUGAUCUGGAAAUUCCUGCUAUAAUAUUUUUAAAGGAAUUUACUGGAAACUAUUCAUGUUUUAAAUAAAGCCAUCCCUUACUUAGCA